UUAUAAGAUCUAGAAUCUGUAUCUAGAUCUAUUCCCAUUUGUGAUUUAUACACUACAGAUUUAAUGUUUCUGAUGAGCAAUACUACUAUCUACAGCCAUGCCCAUUAACAUAGGCCCUACUCAUGUACUAGAUCUAGCUCUUUUGAUCACAACUCAUAUCUUGCCUAGAUAUAAACAACUGUACUAGAUUGGACUAGACAUUCUAAUCGGUUCUAUUUUCGUUUUUCAUUAUUCUCACAUAUUCUAGUAGGCAAUAGGUACCAAAUUGUGCUAUUUAUUCACUGUAGAUCUAGAUCUUAACUUUUCUCUUAACUACCAAAGAAGUACACAAAGGAUGUUGAAAGGUACCCAAAGGGCUCUUAUUGCUACCAUUCAAUGUGUGGAAUCAAGUAUUUACCCACAUACUGUCACAAUAUGCUCUUAUUGUUUUCAAAGGAGUUUUCACACAGUGCCAGAAGCUGUAUAAAUACAUUUAACAAUGUAUAUUUCAAGAAGAAAUGAUGCUUUCUUAUUUCUAAGAGUUUAUCAAUAGGAUGAAUGCCACAAAACUCACUUGUUAUGCCAGAAACUCUUCCUACGAAACUUCCAUACUAGAAUUUGUCCAGUGCCUGUGAUCCUCUGAGUUGAAGGAGAAUGUGCUCCAUAAUACCUACUAGGAGCUUGCUGAUAGCUGGAAGUUCAUGAAUACUAUGUUGUCCUUGAUUUGAUGAUUCUGAAAACUACCAUUUCUGAAGACUUGAGCAUUAUUUCUAUAAUUUAAAAAAAUCUUUUCAGGAAAUAUUGUGUUUAUAAUAUUAAGAAAGGGAAGAUAAUAUUGUUCUUACUAA